UUUGAGCGUCAUUAAAUUCUCAACUCUCUUAUACUUUUUUGUAAAAGAGAGCUUGGACUGUGGA
rnacentral:rRNA from 1 species